UACGACUACAUAUCAGGCAUAUCAAUAAGCGGAGGAAAAGAAACUAACUAGGAUUCCCUCAGUAACGGCGAGUGAAGCGGGAAGAGCUCAAAUUUGAAAUCUUCAAGGUUUUACCUUGACGAAUUGUAGUUUAAAGAAGUGUUUUCUGUUGGUGUUUUGGUAAAAGUUCUUUGGAAUAGGACAUCAUAGAGGGUGAGAAUCCCGUAUUUGACCGUUAUUUUCAGCUGUGUGAUACACUUUCAAAGAGUCGGAUUGUUUGGGAAUGCAGUCCAAAAUGGGUGGUAAAUUUCAUCUAAAGCUGAAUAUUGGCGAGAGACCGAUAGCGAACAAGUACCGUGGGGGAAAGAUGAAAAGAACUUUGAAAAGAGAGUUAAACAGUACGUGGAAUUGUCAAAAGGGAAGCGUUUGACACCAGUGUUGUUUUCCUCGAAAAUCAGUUAAAAAUGACCGGAUUUUGUGUUGUAUUGACUUUAUCAGCUUUCUGCACUUUUUUCUUGUCUUUUUUAAUGCACUUUUCGUUUAACAAGUCAACAUCAAUUUCUUUUGUUGUAAAAGAGUCAUUGGAAGGUGGCUUUCACUUCGGUGAAAGUGUUUAUAGCCUUUGGCUUCUGCAGUCGGAGAGAUUGAGGUCUGCAGCGUAGAUCCUUUUUGGAUUAGAUUCAUUUGUGCUAAGUUAUAGCUUUUUAUAGACAACAUGUUGACUAUAUUUAGUCUUGUAACUUACUCGCUUAUGCAAUUUUACCUACGCUUAGGAUGUUGAAUCUGUGCGAGACUAC
rnacentral:rRNA from 1 species